AGUGAACGCUGGCGGCAGGCCUAAUACAUGCAAGUCGAACGGCAGCACAGCAGAGCUUGCUCUGUGGGUGGCGAGUGGCGGACGGGUGAGGAAUACAUGGGAAUCUGCCCAGUCGUGGGGGAUAACGUAUGGAAACGUACGCUAAUACCGCAUGCGCCCUACGGGGGAAAGUCGGGGACCGCAAGGCCUGACGCGAUUGGAUGAGCCCAUGUUCGAUUAGCUAGUUGGCGGGGUAAAGGCCCACCAAGGCGACGAUCGAUAGCUGGUCUGAGAGGAUGAUCAGCCACACUGGAACUGAGACACGGUCCAGACUCCUACGGGAGGCAGCAGUAGGGAAUAUUGGACAAUGGGGGCAACCCUGAUCCAGCCAUGCCGCGUGAGUGAAGAAGGCCCUCGGGUUGUAAAGCUCUUUUGUCCGGAAAGAAAGCAAUCGGUUAAUACCCGGUUGUUCUGACGGUACCGGAAGAAUAAGCACCGGCUAACUUCGUGCC
rnacentral:rRNA from 1 species